UAGUCAAAACAUUAAGAUAGUUGACAUCAUAUGCAAAUUAAUCUUAACUAAACUGUAACUUGCUGUGCCUUUCCAUUAGGGGUGUGCCAAAAAAAUGAUAUUGCGAUAUAUCGCGAUAUUUAGUCCUGUGAUCGAUUCCCGAUGGGUUCUCACCAAGUAUCGAUAUUAUAUUUUCAUUUGAAGAGGCUGUUGUGCUUUGCGUCUGAGUUGCGCGGCGGAACUAUUGAGCAGCUGGGCGCGCUGCGUUGGACUUUUAAUAGCGAUGCACGUGCUCAUUUGGAAGAAGCACCGGUGAGAUACAGUCUCUGGCUGUGUCCAAAUUCAGGUUCUGCAUCCUCCCGAGGCCAUGGCCUUCGCGAUUUCCGAUGUCCGGGUCCUUCGUUAGCGGGUAUACCGGAUGUUAAGUGCAGUGAAUUUGGACGGUCUAGCCUUGUUUUUUUUUUUUUUUUUAACUUUAUUGAACAAACAAAACAACAAAAGCUGUUUUAACUUUGCUAGCUAGUUUCUUGUAGCCUGACUGGCCACAGUGAGUUGAACGUGUUGUGAAUCAUUUAGCUCGAAAUGAUUCUGAGUUUUUUUUUAAAUGUAAAUUUUACUUUUGGCGGGGUUGUAAGAAGAACCAUCGCUACCACCGGCACGUGGUAUUUUUCCGGCGGACACAAAACGAUCUGCAGGAACUGUGUACAAAGGCUUAAAAAACAUCUACGAGCUCUUUUACAUAUUAGCUUUAGCUAGUUUAAUUGAAAUAUUUAUUUAGCAACACUAUUACAAGUUGUAAAAUAUACAAAUACUGAAUUUGUGGGUUUGUGGAUUAUUCAAGUUUUGUUUAUUUCACAAGUUAUUGCUGUAAAUGUAACUUAGUAUAAGUACCUACACUUUUCUGAGAAUUAAAAACAUGUACCAAAUAACUACAAUGGGUUCUUAUUUGAUUAAUCAUACUACAAUAGUGUUAAAUGUUAAUUUAAUCUUCAGACUUUUGUUGCAGCAAUUAAUUUUUUUUGUAUUUAUUUGAAAAUUUGAUUUGAAAUCAGUAAAAGUAGUUUUUGUAAUGAUGUUUUAUAGUUUAAUAACAAAUUACUUAAAACCACAUAUUUUUAAUAUAAAUGUGUUUCUUGUGUAUUUCAUUUUAACUAGACUAGACACCUGUAAUCCAGAAUCAACCAGUCUCUCAAUCCUUUAGCUGUUUGUCCAACAGUGAAGACCCAAGAACAGACUUCAGAAUGAACAGGAACUCUCCUGCAGUCUUCCUGAACCUCCUUGAUCAGGAUCGGGGACAUCCAUAUCCUCCUGCAAGUGCUGGAGCUGCAUCACACUUCUGUACCUCAUGUUGUCACAGCGUGUGCCAUCCUCCACAACAUCUGCCUCUGUGUUGACGACACCGAGGCCCCAGAGGAAGAUGUGGAGGUGAUGAUGAGGACGCUGGUUUGGAGGUCACCAGCGGUACUCUCUGACAGGAUCAACUACCGGCUGAGGUUUCGGCCCUGGGGGAGGUACCACCUUGAUUACUGGUAACAGGUAAUUAAAUAAUCAAGAUUUUUUUUUCCAAGUUUUUUUUUUUCCAAAGCCUAUAAAUUCAUUAUCUCAUAUUUAUGGAUAAUUUUUGGUCAUGCGGCAUCCGUCCACAGCCAGCCCUGCAAACCCUGAAGAUGGACGAUACAGUCUACAGUGAAGAUGAUCCUGAAACUCUCAGCAGACCACCUUGCAAGAUGUUACAAUCACCACCCAGAAAGUUCCAUCCCGGGUCUCAGUCGAAGCCCCCCCCCAUCCAUGUCGACUAUCUUUGUAAAUAGUUGGAAAUAAAAGUUACAAUUAA